rnacentral:rRNA from 1 species
CACGUAGGGUGCGAGCGUUGUUCGGAAUUACUGGGCGUAAAGGGCGCGUAGGCGGUCUGCUAAGUUGGAUGUGAAAACUCUGGGCUUAACCCAGAGCCUGCAUUCAAUACUGACAGGCUAGAGUUCUGGAGGGGAUAGCGGAAUUCCUGGUGUAGCGGUGAAAUGCGUAGAUAUCAGGAGGAACACCGGUGGCGAAGGCGGCUCACUGGCCCGAUACUGACGCUGAGGUGCGAAAGCGUGGGGAGCAAACAGG